GGGGAGAUACUCAAGCGGCCAACGAGGACAGACUGUAAAUCUGUUGUCUUUCGACUUCGCAGGUUCGAAUCCUGCUCUCCCCACUA
rnacentral:tRNA from 1 species